AGCAACAUGUAUUCUUUACACACAUUUCACAACAGUGUGCCUGAUGGAUAAACUGAUAAAAUGAUAAACACAUGGAGUUAUUAAAGAUGAAUACUGAUGGGAUGUUGAGCCGGGUCAGAGGGCGCACAGAGCAGAGAGUGCGGAGUGUGGAGAACCAAUCAGAGCAAAUAAAGACAGAAAUGAGAGAAGGGCAGCCAAUCAGACACUCAGAGCAGAGCUGAGGAGGAGCAGAGUGGACAGUAACUUUGUAAUAAUUAUUUUGUUUCAGCUUUGAGUUUGGCUCCACGCUGGGGUUUUCCUACCUGGCAUCCCCACAGAUCCCACACAGAGUCACAGCAGGUGAAACCAGGCCGGCGGGGAGGCCGGCAGCCCUUUGUGUCCAUGCUCUGUUUGAAGCUGAGAGGGUCAGUGAGCACAUGGGUCACUGCACGACCCCACAAACCGCUCCUCAGACGAUGCUGACCGAGGAGAAGAAUAGCUCCUCCUGCUUCCAUCACUGACCAGACUCAGACUGAUACCCACUGUGUGACCCACUGUGGCUGACCCACUGUGUGUGACGGGACCUGCUGCAGGCUCAGGGUCAGCCUCAGAUCAGACUGAAGCAGAGACCACGUGAGCAGCUGUUUGCGUGCUGCGGCUGCUUCCUUUCUGUUUGAUUUGUGUUGGUUAAAAUAAA